rnacentral:lncRNA from 1 species
GUGAUUUUUAAUAGAAUUUGAGAAUUUUUGAGUUGGAAAAUUUUGAGUUGUGAGAGCCAUAAGAAUGAGAAGUAGUAGUAAUUUUUUUUUUGAGAAUCAUGAGAAGUAGGAGUUCUCAAGGUUAUAAUGUUGCUGAUUUGGGUGGAUAUAAAAGGAUAUUUAAAAGCACUACACGGUAUGUCUUUACAACGCGAGUAUAAACAGUGAGCUGGAUGUCCAGACUGUAGAAAAAUGUGGCUUUAUCAACAACAAAAUCCGAGUACAUGGUUGUUGCUGAAGCACGCAAACAACUAGUUGCGUUCAAGACUUAUCUUCAAGAAUUCGAUAAGCAGCAGUCUAAUACUCAUUAUACAAUGACAAAGAGAGUGUAGUGAGACUUUCCAAGAAUCCAAUCGAUCUAUUGUGGGAAGACAUCGGGAUGAGGUAUCAUUUCGUGAGAGGAUUGAUCAAUAAAGGAACAAUGAGUUUGAAGAAUAUCUCGGGUGCUAAGAGCAGUACAAGUCUAUAGUGUUGGAUAAGCUAAAGCGUUGCCAAGAAUAAUGUUAAGAAGACCAGGGUAAUUAGGGACAUUUAUUAAAGUGGAUUUUCAUUACAGAAGUACACAAGAGAUGGUGUAGUUGUUGGUUUGAAGACAACAAGUGGGAGAUUGUUGGAGAUAUGUUAUCUUCAGCCCACAUUUGGGCAGCCAAAAAUUCUAAGGAACAAGGGGAAGGGUUUGGCUGGGCCUAACCUCAAUGGCUCAGUUUGCUUAGUAUCUUGUUUGGCAAGUUUUGCUAGUCUAUAUAUAGAUCUCAUGUACUUGUAAUCAUUGAUCACUACUUAAUGGGAGCACAAGAUUAUGUGCAACCUGAUAUUGCAGCUGUGGUGGAGGUUUGUUGACGUAGAUGCUCUAAUAAAUAACUUCUAACUACACAUGUCACAAUUAUACGAGCACAAGAUUGUUUUUCCUGCUUCUCUUAUUUUACUUGUUCUAUAAACCUAAAUAAGUAACCAACUAACUAUAUCUUAUCCUAAAUUAUCGUUUUUUAAAUAACAACUAUUAAAUAUGUAAUUUUUUUUUCAACCGGUUUAAAAAACUGGUUUCUAUCCUACUUUCUAAAAAAAAGAGAUUCGUAGGAGUUAUUCUCUAUACAUAAAGUAUCAUCUAUCAGCAUUAUUGUUUCAAUUAUUGUUUCACAUUUCGAUCUCGAUUUCAGCAGCAAAUAUCAAAAACAAAUCAUGGAACAACUAUGAUUUAAGAAGUAGAAGCUUAAAGUUACCUUUUGGAGCAUCACGAUUGGCUUCUCGUUAGCGUCAAGUAGCGCGAGCUGUAAACGGAUACUUAUUGACUAUAAUUUCAAUUGGUUCUGGUGUGAUGAACUGAGGACUGAUGACAGAAAAAGGAGGGAAUACAGGUGCACCACUAGGUUGAGCCAUCAUCACAAGCAAACACUAAGAUUGUAGUUCUAUGCAGGUAUGCAUGGAGUAGGAGCAGUGUGAAGGCUUUUAACAUGAUAUUCAUUAACCAACAAGUUGACUACAUCCACAUGCGCCAUAAUUGACUACUUGCUUGUAAAGAACGUGAAGCGUUUGUCAUCAAGUGAAUUUCGAAUUCUUAAAUUCUGUAAUGUAUAAUACAACUGGUAUAAUGUUGUUGGCCGCCGGACCCAGGAAGAAUGGGCUGCGGUAUAAGUAGCAAGUAGGAAAUUUCAUUUAUGGGAUUUGAUCAUAUAUUUUUUUAAUGGCAAAGAUGCACACCCU